rfam:Triticum aestivum genome assembly, contig: Triticum_aestivum_CS42_TGACv1_scaffold_129719_2BL
AUACUAUUCCCUCCGUUCAAAAUUACUCGUCGUUGAAAUGGAUGUAUCUAAAACUAAAAUACAUCUAGAUACAUCCAUACGUGCGACAAGUAAUUCGGAACGGGGGGAGUACAAG